GGGGGGCUGGCUUAGGGGUUAGCACGUUUCCCUUGCACCUCAAGGGUUGGGGGUUCAAUUCCCACCUCCACCC